rnacentral:rRNA from 1 species
AGUUAAUCGGAAGAANUGGGGCGUAAAGCGCACGCAGGGCGGUCUGUCAAGUCGGAUGUGAAAUCCCCGGGCUCAACCYUGGGAACUGCAUUCGAAANUGGCAGGCUAGAGUCUUGUAGNGGGGGGUAGAAUUCCACGUGUAGCGGUGAAAUGCGUAGAUAUCUGGAGGAAUACCGGUGGCGAAGGCGGCCYCCUGGACUAAGACUGACGCUCAUGUGCGAAAGCGUGGGGAGCAAACAGGAUUAGAUACCCUGGUAGUCCACGCCGUAAACGAUGUCGACUUGGAGGUUGUGCCCUUGAGGCGUGGCUUCCGGAGCUAACGCGUUAAUUCAACCGCCUGGGGAGUACGGCCGCAAAGUUAAAACUCAAAUGAAUUGACGGGGGCCCGCACAACCGGUGGAGCAUGUGGUUUAAUUCAAUGCAACGCAAAGAACCUUACCUACUCUUGACUUCCUGAAAACUUUCCAAAAAUGGAUUGGUGCCUUCGGRAACUCUGAAACAGGUGCUGCAUGGCUGUCGUCAGCUCCUGUUGUGAAAAUGUUGGGGUUAAGUCCCGCAACGAGCGCAACCCUUAUCCUUUGUUGCCAGCGGUUAGGCCUGGAACUCAAACUGAGACUGCCAGUGAURACUGGAGGGAAGGUKGGGGAUUAACUCCAGUUAUCNUUGCCCUUUACGRSUUGGGCUACCCACGUGCUACAAUGGCACAUACAAAGAGAAUCGACCUCGCGAGAGCAAGCSGACCUCAUAAAGUGYGUCCUAGUCCGGAUUGGAGUCUGCAACUCGACUCCAUGAAAUCGGAAUCGCUAGUAAUCUUAGAUCACAAUGCUACUGUGAAUACGUUCCCUGGNCUUGUACACACUGCCGUCACACCAUGGGGAGUGGGUUGCAAUAGAAGUACGUACCUUAACCUUCGGGAUGCGCUUACACUUUNUGAUCAUGACUG